rnacentral:rRNA from 1 species
UCUCGCAUCGAUGAAGAACGCAGCGAAAUGCGAUAAGUAAUGUGAAUUGCAGAAUUCAGUGAAUCAUCGAAUCUUUGAACGCACAUUGCGCCCCUUGGUAUUCCGAGGGGCAUGCCUGUUCGAGCGUCAUUACACCACUCAAGCACAGCUUGGUAUUGG